ensembl:snoRNA
UGUAACAAAAAUCUUACCUCCUUGGUCGAGGCAUGGGUUGAGAUUCAGUGCCCAGAGCCACCAGGGGCCUCAGCUCACCUCCUGCUGCCACAGUGUGGGAGGGUGAAACCCAGGCCCCAACAAGC